GGGAAACCAAACGUCUUUCUUCUUCCUCCAACGCUUGGAGACCUUUCACGCAUACCAAACGACAUGGAGAAGAAGACUCACCAUCAUCAGUUGAAGAAGAAGACCCACCAUCGUCAGUUGAAGAAAGACCCACCAUCUAUGCGAUAUAGGUAUGCUAUCAUGUGUAUGAAGUACAAAAUUUUUUGGAUGAGUUCUGAUAUGGUUUUAAUGGGUUUGAAGAUCACUCCUCUAGAUUUUUAAUGAUUUUUUAAAAUUUUGGAAUAUCAUGUGUCUGAAGUACAAAAAAGCAUAUUCAUUUAAAAUUUUUGGAUGAGUUCUGAUAUGGUUUUAAUGGGUUUGAAGAUCACUCCUCUAGAUUUUUAAUGGUUUUUUAAAAUUUUGGAAUAUCAUGUGUAUGAAGUACAAACAUGCAUAUUCAUUUAAACAAUAGAUGGUUGUUCUAGCUUGUCCAUCUUAUUCAUUCUGCAGACUUGUGCUCGAUGUAUAUUAUUAAGGUCAUUCUUCGUUCUCGGGCUUUUGCUAUGGGUGGCUUGCUGUUCAAUAGUUACAGAAAGCAUACUGAUUAAUUAGAUGAUUAGAUGUUGUCUGAUAAAUCAAUUAUACCAUGGUUCUUCGAUUUGGAGUUUUGUAUCCUGAGUUUUGAUAUGGAUUUUAAGAACUCAUCAACAAUUCUACAACUUUUUUUUUUUAUUGAGUACUGUAGUUUUGUAAUUUUCCAUCAAACUUGUGCUUUCAAUGCACCAUUCAACAUGGUUUGUGUUUCUUGUGAUUCUAGGCUACUUAUUUUUUAUUUUUUUUGGAGUACUGUAGUUUUGUAGUUUACAAUUAAACUCUUUCUUUCAAUGCUCCAUUCAACAUGGUUUGUGUUUCUUGUGAUUCUUGGUUAUUGAUUAAUCUACCUCGGGUUUGCCAUAAGGUAAUUGAUCUUCACUUACAUAAUAUAUUUGCGGUAGAGUGGGUUUUCUUGUCUUUUUUUUUUUUUUCUCUUUUCUUAAUCUAGUCUUUUGGAUUAAGGAAAAAAAAAAAAAAAGAGACAAGAAAACAGAAUUUCAUAUACAUAUAAUAUAUUUUUUAUCUACUCUUAAUUGAUAUUUGAGAAGAAAAAACAUAAUGUCAUAUAUAUGUCCAUGUUUUGUGAUUAAAGUGUAUCUGUGCAUGUUCUAUGGUUAAACAGAUUUGCUCACCUAUUGUUCAACUAUGGAAGCUAAUAAUGGCAUAUUAGUUCACAUGGAAACUGAUUCAGAAACAAAUCCUUCCGUAUCAAUUUUCUAUCCUCAAGUAAUUGGUGAGCUCACUCCCUUCCAAAGUCAACAAUUUGAAACAUUAGAAGUGUAUGACUUUUACAAUCAGUAUGCAAGGGAAGCAGGGUUUAGUGUUUGAUCAUAUUCUAGUAAGAAGAGUAAAGACGGAGAGGUCAUACGAAAAGAGUACGUUUGCAAUAAAGAGGGAAGUUGGUCAACUGAAACAGGCGGUGUUGUAAAAAGGCAUCGUGGAGUAGGCAAAGAGUCUUGUAAGGCACAGCUAAUAGUUGUUAAAUCAAAAUAUGGUGGAUACGUAGUCACCAUAUUUGAUGAGGCUCAUACUCAUCCAUUGACAACCCCACGAAGACGCCACUUAUUAAAGUCUCAUCGUCGAAUUUCUGGUGUUGACCAACUUGUAGCACAACAACUAAUAUCCGCAAAUGUAUCCACACACCAACAAUAUGACAUUCUAGCAAUGCAAGCAGAAGGCAUUGAAAAUGUUGGUUUUACUCAACAAGAUAUGUACAACUCCAACAGAGAUAGACGUAUGAAGAUCAAGGGUCAUGAUGGAGAAAUGUUGUUUGAUCAUUUCAUGAAUGAGCAAGAAAAAAAUCCAGGGUUCAUAUUCAAGGUUGAGACAAAUAUUGAACACAAGAUUACUUGAUGUUUUUGGGCUGAUGCAAUCUCUAGGCAAUCGUACAAGUUUUAUGGUGAUGUGGUUAUCUUCGAC
rnacentral:lncRNA from 1 species